GCUCGACGGUAGUAGCGGGGGGGUGUGGUAGGGUGCGGGCGGAGAGGCCCUGCCGCACGAAAAAUCCCACGCCUCCGCCCCGCGAGCGCAGUCGCCUCGGCCGCGCCACGUGACGCAGUCGAUAGCCGGCUACUCGCGGAGCGCGGCCCUCCUCGCCGUCACGUAACCACGUUUCAUUUAUCGCCACCACGUCUGCUAAAGAGUUGUGUAUAGUCACAGUCAGUUCGUCGUGUCCAGUACCAAGAGAACCUGCAUUAAACAGACCAACCUUAAAGUAAUUUGUUUUAAUCAUAAGUAGUUAUAUUAUAUGAUAAGAAGUGCCAAUGCAAGGAAUACGAAGGAAAUGUGAAGGGAUAAAGGCAAACACCGAGUACACAACGAGGUUUGCAGCCAGCAGCCUGAACCCGAGGCCAUUCCACCCGCCCCACCGAUGCUCCACUGCCUCUUUAUGUGUCUGACUAAUAGAGUGAUCAUAAAUUUAAGAUUAUCCAUAACAGCACUGAGGCAACAGAGCAUGACCAUUAGAUAACACGAACACAUACAGCAGAAAAUACUAUAACAGAAGAAUAAUUUACAAAGUGGAGCGAACUGGUUCCUCUCCAAAAAUAUUAAUCAGGUCGUUUGCGCAUCUGAUUCUAGAAGCCGGUUUGCCUUCGGCUUGGCGUACAAACACACGACCAUCUUUUGUCCAUACGAAUCGCCACGAAAACCGCUUACACAGAUCUCUUGCUUUACCAAACAGUUGCCUAUUUAGCUUUGUAAGUCUCUCAUUUAAGUAGAACCUCUUUGGUUCUCCUUCGAGGCCCAUGUCGGCUGUGGUGAGGCCGCGGCGCACGCGCAUGGCGCGCAGCAGCUCGUCCCGGGUGGCGCGGCGCGCGAG